rnacentral:rRNA from 1 species
GGGUGUCGGUCUACGGCCCGGGUGCGGUGACUGACGCGUCGCCGGUAAAACGGCACGCGUCAAACCCCCGGUCGCCCGGCCGGCUGCCCGGCGGUACACGCAAGGUAUCAGGCCGCACAUCGUGCAGAGAAAUCUCACAGAGUUGUGCGUCGAGGCCGUCGCAAGCGCGCGCCACGGUACACGGAGGCUAACGGACCUAGCGCCGUCACCGGUCCUGGCCCGCUGUUGGUCGUACGGUUAACCUUCGACAGGCCUGCUCACGUUCCCCGGGUCUCUCUUGUGGGAGGACCGGGGGACCGAUACCGGUCGGCGACGCUACUGCUUUGGGUACUCUUAGGACCCGUCUUGAAACACGGACCAAGGAGUCUAACAUGUACGCGAGUCAUUGGGACUUAGCGAUACCUAAAGGCGUAAUGAAAGUGAAGGUCGUCCCUGGUUGUCGACCGAGGGAGGAUGGGCCGCGUCGCGCAUGCGGCUCCGCACUCCCGGGGCGUCUCGUUCUCAUCGCGAGAAGAGGCGCACCCAGAGCGUACACGUUGGGACCCGAAAGAUGGUGAACUAUGCCUGGUCAGGACG